CCCUUAGAUGUCCUGGGCUGCACGCGCGCUACACUGAUGUGUCCAGUAAGCACCUAACCUCUUCCGAAAGGAACGGGUAACCUUUGCAAAGCACAUCGUGAUGGGGAUAGAUUAUUGCAAUUAUUAGUCUUGAACGAGGAAUUCCUAGUAAGCACAAGUCAUCAGCUUGUGUUGAUUACGUCCCUGCCCUUUGUACACACCGCCCGUCGCUCCUACCGAUUGAAUGUGCCAGUGAAAAGUUCGGAUUGGAGAUAGGAGACGGCAACGUAUCCUAUUUCCGAGAAAAUCUUUAAACUUUCCCAUUUAGAGGAAGGAGAAGUCGUAACA
rnacentral:rRNA from 1 species